UAAGGCCAAUAAUAUCCCAGGCAAUGCCUGAUAGUUCCUCAAAUUGCCCUGCUAAGCUAGCGUCACUCGAGAGGGUGCGCGUGUUGAACGUUGCCAGGUUCAGUUUCCAGUGGUGGCCUAUCCGGUUUCAGAGAUUCUUAGCACCCUCGGCCGCGUCGCAGGUCUGACCGCCGCCUUGGUUAGGUGCUCCGCAGCCGCUGGGGACUGAGGGCCAUGGUUUAAUUGUAGGAAUCAUGAGGGAAGGGAGUGGCCGAAUACUGCACCAGGGAGGCCAAUUCCUGUUCUGCUAUCUUGAUAAAUACC
rnacentral:lncRNA from 1 species